UUCGUAAUCAGCAGGUCUGGAGUUCGAGUCUCCAUGCUGG
rnacentral:tRNA from 1 species